CGUUAAAGCUCAUUAAUCCCAUAUGGCAGGACUGGAAGAAGCCACAGUCAGAAGACAGAAUAUACCUACUGCACAAUCUAAAGCAUACAUAUGUCUGAGGCUGUGCUAACACAGCCAAAGAAGCAAGGAAAAUCUAAUAUAUAUAUAUAAAAUAGCUUUAUUAAAAAGGCACAUAAUUUCACAUUCAGUGUCUUUGCAAAAUUUCUUUUAUGUGCAAUUACUGGAAAUUCUCAAAACCGAAUGACAAAAUAUGAACAACAUUCUUCAAAUGCUUCUUAUUUAACACAUCUCCCCGUCAACUAUGAAAGUGCUCAAAGUGCUCAAAAACCUUUAGGUCAAAACUUCAACAUUUUAUUCAAAGUGCUCUGUGUGUACCUACCAGUGAAAUCAAAGUACAUUUAUGCCCCCUCUGAGAUUGACAAUAGAGUACAUUGUUACCAUCUUGAUAGCAAAUGUUUCUAUUUUCUACACUGGUAGAGGAUAUUUUAACUUGAAUAACCUCACAUUAGUGUGCUGAUAUUGCCAAAUACAUAACACGUCAACUUAUUUCAUAAUCAACAUAUGAUCCAUUUAAAAUAAUAGGCAUGAUUCACAGCAUGUUUAAUGCAUGAGGUAAAAUAUACUUUUCUGGAAAUGUAUCAUAAGAUUUCUUUAUUAUAAUACUCCAACCAAGUGUAGACGUAAAUGGGACUGUUAAGGCAUGACAACCAAUCAAAUAAAUGGUUUAAUUUUCUAAAACAUCAGAACUACAGUUCACUUAAAAGCAUGACCUGUGAACAUCUUAAAAUGAAUUAGUUGGCGUUCACUUUCUGCAGGGUUACGGCACUCACAUUAAGGGCAUCCUCACCCGGCAGAAGCUCUCUCAAAAGGAAUGAAAGCAGCAUCUAUUGAAAAUAAAGAGAAGCAAAAGUUGAGCCAAUGUUUCUACCAAACUGUACAAGAAAGUCUAGACACAUUUUUAUGGCAUUUGACAAACAUCAGAGAGCGAGCGCUGCAACACUGAUGAGAGGACAUUGACAUCUCUUCCAGUGCUCGCCACAGAAAGUCAAGAGGCUAAACACUCACAUAGACCAGCUUCUUGUUUUCUUCACAGUCCUGGAAGAGCUUAAACACCGUCUCCAUAUCGGUCUUCUUCAAGAUUAAAUAGUUUGAAUCUAUAAUGGAUAACACGAUGUUAGUAAACUGGGCCAAUUCCCACAUCUCCGUCUUAGAAUGAAAAGCAUAGAAUGAAAAACUCUAGAAGCUGUGUUGAUCAGAGUGAAAAACAGUGUGUAUAUCCUGUACAUCUGGCAUUGAUGAGGUGCUGAGCUCGGUCUUUGGUCUCGUUCUUCUCCUCACUGCUGCGAUGGGGUUUAGGGCUGGUCACCUCUGGCGAGCCCUCGGGCCACUGUUUCUCACAUAGGUUGUCGAUAUAGGAGGCCAUCUGGGCAUCCGUUGGGUUCAUCUUAUUCAAGAAGCUGUUCACUUUCCUAGAGGAGAUUAUAAAAAGUCAUGCUGGGAUUCUCAAAAGGCCAAAUGUAGAUCAUCUUAUUACUCUGUCACUAUGACGAACCAGGAC
rnacentral:lncRNA from 1 species